rnacentral:tRNA from 1 species
GGGCACGUGGUGUAGUUGGUUAUCACGCUCGCUUAGCACUAAUCUGAGGACUUGCGAGAGGGGUCCGGUUCAAUCCCGGACGUGUCCA